rnacentral:tRNA from 1 species
UGGGGCAUUAGCUCAGCUGGUAGAGCAUCCGACUCUUAAUCGGCAGGUCGUAGGUUCGACCCCUACAUGCCCCAUCC